rfam:Ictidomys tridecemlineatus contig043113, whole genome shotgun sequence.
UGGGUUGUGGCUCAGUGGUAGAGUACUUGCCUAGCAUGUGUGAGGCCCUGGGUUCAAGUUUCAGCACCACAU